AGCAGUCGCCGCGGGAAUACGGAGGGUGCAAGCGUUAAUCGGAAUUACUGGGCGUAAAGCGCACGCAGGCGGUCUGACAAGUCAGAUGUGAAAUCCCCGGGCUUAACCUGGGAACUGCAUUUGAAACUGUCAGGCUGGAGUCUUGUAGAGGGGGGUGGAAUUCCAGGUGUAGCGGUGAAAUGCGUAGAGAUCUGGAGGAAUACCGGUGGCGAAGGCGGCCCCCUGGACAAAGACUGACGCUCAGGUGCGAAAGCGUGGGGAGCAAACAGGAUUAGAUACCCGUGUAGUCCCUGUCUCUUAUAC
rnacentral:rRNA from 1 species